UACGUAGGGGGCAAGCGUUGUCCGGAAUUAUUGGGCGUAAAGCGCGCGCAGGCGGUUUUUUAAGUCUGGGGUUUAAGUUCGGGGCUCAACCCCGUAUCGCCCUGGAAACUGGGAGACUUAGAGUGCAGGAGAGGAAAGUGGAAUUCCACGUGUAGCGGUGAAAUGCGUAGAGAUGUGGAGGAACACCAGUGGCGAAGGCGACUUUCUGGCCUGUAACUGACGCUGAGGCGCGAAAGCGUGGGGAGAAAACAGG
rnacentral:rRNA from 1 species